UUUAUCUUGUUGUUUAUAUCUUAUGAUUAUUUCUCUGAGUGUGCCACAAGGAAUAUUUCAUCUGAUACAUUUUAAAGAUACUGAAGACUGCUUGCUUGGAUGUUGGCCAUAUUUAUUUGAUGCCUCUUAUCUUCAUAUUGAUUGCUUGGAUGGUUAUGUUUAUUGCUUGCUUAAAAGUCCAAAGGAAAUGGGUUUCUAUCUGACAUUCUUGUCUUGUGGAUUGCAUCCCAUUGGUCAGAUCUUUUCAACUCUAAACUUUUAAUUUUUGUCUAGG
rnacentral:lncRNA from 1 species